rnacentral:tRNA from 1 species
ACCAAAGUAGCUUAAGUUAAAGCAUUGAUUUUGUAAAUCAAAGACUAGAACUAUUUUCUUUUUGGUA